rnacentral:rRNA from 1 species
UGGGGAAUAUUGCACAAUGGGGGGAACCCUGAUGCAGCGACGCCGCGUGAAGGAAGAAGUAUCUCGGUAUGUAAACUUCUAUCAGCAGGGAAGAAAAUGACGGUACCUGACCAAGAAGCCCCGGCUAACUACGUGCCAGCAGCCGCGGUAAUACGUAGGGGGCAAGCGUUAUCCGGAUUUACUGGGUGUAAAGGGAGCGUAGGCGGCGAUGCAAGUCAGAAGUGAAAGCCCGGGGCUCAACUCCGGGACUGCUUUUGAAACUGUGUUGCUAGAUUGCGGGAGAGGCAAGUGGAAUUCCUAGUGUAGCGGUGAAAUGCGUAGAUAUUAGGAGGAACACCAGUGGCGAAGGCGGCUUGCUGGACCGUGAAUGACGCUGAGGCUCGAAAGCGUGGGGAGCAAACAGG